ncrna:unclassified sequences manA RNA
UAAGCGAAGGACGCUUUGCUUACAGGGAGUGACUGAAUAAACUUACUGGCAACCGCUGGUUAAGGUGAUGAGUCAGAGGUGGUGCUCGCUGUUCGCAAGAACAGAACUACUGAACCAAGUAGGACUCAGGCAACAACGUAUUUACUUUCUGUAGUAAUGCCCGUUGUUUGUUGGUAUACAGGAACCCAACCUCCCACCCA